GCCGCUGUCAACAUGUGCAUGUGAAAACGAAAGUAGAUUGUUUAUCUAGGAAUUAUUAGAACAUUUUACCCUUCUACGUUGAAUUUUUAAGAUAUAAUAGUAUGAAUAUAGAGAUGAUUAUUUAGUUACCUUCAACUGGUCAGUGGUCAAAAGGGAGUAUGUCUGUGUGUCUUGAAGUAUUGAAUGCCCCCAAAACAACCAGUAUGAUAAGAAGGUGUACAAUCUGGGUUGAAAACAGCCAUGGACAAUGAAUUUGGAGGUGCAUGCUGGAGCAUCAGAAAUUACAUACAUGUACUUGGAAUAAAUAAUUGCACAAUACACAUUUACUGAGAAGUGACUAAUGUUUAUGUUAAAGUGCAAUAUCCAUGUUUGUAACAUUUACAUGGGGGUAAUAGUUACAGUGUUGAAAGAGACUACCAGUGUUACAUUUCAAACUAAGUUACAGUGUGGAUGCUAAUUCUAAAUUCUUGAUAAUCAAGUGUUUUUAAUAACUUAUGAAUACUAAUUAUUUAUCAAACUGUUUAAUUUAUCACAU
rnacentral:lncRNA from 1 species